UACGUAGGGUGCAAGCGUUAAUCGGAAUUACUGGGCGUAAAGCGUGCGCAGGCGGUUCGCUAAGACAGAUGUGAAAUCCCCGGGCUUAACCUGGGAACUGCAUUUGUGACUGGCGGGCUAGAGUAUGGCAGAGGGGGGUAGAAUUCCACGUGUAGCAGUGAAAUGCGUAGAGAUGUGGAGGAAUACCGAUGGCGAAGGCAGCCCCCUGGGCCAAUACUGACGCUCAUGCACGACAGCGUGGGGAUCAAACAGG
rnacentral:rRNA from 1 species